GACGAACGCUGGCGGCGUGCUUAACACAUGCAAGUCGAGCGGUAAGGCCCUUUCGGGGGUACACGAGCGGCGAACGGGUGAGUAACACGUGGGUGACCUGCCCUCAGCUCUGGGAUAAAGCCCGGGAAACUGGGUCUAAUACCGGAUAUGACUUCAUGACGCAUGUUGUGGAGUGGAAAGCCUUGUGCGGCUGAGGAUGGGCCCGCGGCCUAUCAGCUUGUUGGUGGGGUGAUGGCCUACCAAGGCGACGACGGGUAGCCGGCCUGAGAGGGCGACCGGCCACACUGGGACUGAGAUACGGCCCAGACUCCUACGGGAGGCGAGCAGUGGGGAAUCUUGCGACAAUGGGCGAAAGCCUGACGCAGCGACGCCGCGUGA
rnacentral:rRNA from 1 species